GACGAACGCUGGCGGCGUGCUUGACACAUGCAAGUCGAACGGAAAGGCCCUGCUUUUGUGGGGUGCUCGAGUGGCGAACGGGUGAGUAACACGUGAGUAACCUGCCCUUGACUUUGGGAUAACUUCAGGAAACUGGGGCUAAUACCGGAUAGGAGCUCCUGCUGCAUGGUGGGGGUUGGAAAGUUUCGGCGGUUGGGGAUGGACUCGCGGCUUAUCAGCUUGUUGGUGGGGUAGUGGCUUACCAAGGCUUUGACGGGUAGCCGGCCUGAGAGGGUGACCGGCCACAUUGGGACUGAGAUACGGCCCAGACUCCUACGGGAGGCAGCAGUGGGGAAUAUUGCACAAUGGGCGGAAGCCUGAUGCAGCAACGCCGCGUGCGGGAUGACGGCCUUCGGGUUGUAAACCGCUUUCGCCUGUGACGAAGCGUGAGUGACGGUAAUGGGUAAAGAAGCACCGGCUAACUACGUGCCAGCAGCCGCGGUGAUACGUAGGGUGCGAGCGUUGUCCGGAUUUAUUGGGCGUAAAGGGCUCGUAGGUGGUUGAUCGCGUCGGAAGUGCAAUCUUGGGGCUUAACCCUGAGCGUGCUUUCGAUACGGGUUGACUUGAGGAAGGUAGGGGAGAAUGGAAUUCCUGGUGGAGCGGUGGAAUGCGCAGAUAUCAGGAGGAACACCAGUGGCGAAGGCGGUUCUCUGGGCCUUUCCUGACGCUGAGGAGCGAAAGCGUGGGGAGCGAACAGGCUUAGACACCCUGGUAGUCCACGCUGUAAACGGUGGGUACUAGGUGUGGGGUCCAUUCCACGGGUUCCGUGCCGUAGCUAACGCUUUAAGUACCCCGCCUGGGGAGUACGGCCGCAAGGCUAAAACUCAAAGGAAUUGACGGGGCCCCGCACAAGCGGCGGAGCAUGCGGAUUAAUUCGAUGCAACGCGUAGAACCUUACCUGGGUUUGACAUGGAUCGGGAGUGCUCAGAGAUGGGUGUGCCUCUUUUGGGGUCGGUUCACAGGUGGUGCAUGCCUGUCGUCAGCUCGUGUCGUGAGAUGUUGGGUUAAGUCCCGCAACGAGCGCAACCCUUGUUCACUGUUGCCAGCACGUUAUGGUGGGGACUCAGUGGAGACCGCCGGGGUCAACUCGGAGGAAGGUGGGGAUGACGUCAAGUCCUCAUGCCCCUUAUGUCCAGGGCUUCACGCAUGCUACAAUGGCUGGUACAGAGAGUGGCGAGCCUGUGAGGGUGAGCGAAUCUCGGAAAGCCGGUCUCAGUUCGGAUUGGGGUCUGCAACUCGACCUCAUGAAGCCGGAGUCGCUAGUAAUCGUAGAUCAGCAACGCUGCGGUGAAUACGUUCCCGGG
rnacentral:rRNA from 1 species